rnacentral:lncRNA from 1 species
AACCAUUUGUCCAUGUUGUUUCCUACGAUCCCCAACUCGACUGCUUCUGUAUCUUGACUUCGAGUUUGUAAUGCCAAUGCAAGGCUACCCCACUGGCCUGUCUCACUCUUAUGACUCCAGUGCAUCGACACCCACUUGCCUCAACAUCAGGGCCUUGUAAUGCAUCACAGCAUGACCACCUUAUGGCCAACCUAGCCAACAUUAAACAACCUUCGUGCUUCAUCUCCUACAUCCUG